ACACCUGAUUUGGGGCUAGUAGAAGGAUUAGUUUAGGGAAGACAUUAAUUUCACCUUAGGAGUCGAGUUCUGACUUUUUGUGAAGAUUUCCCAGCCAACUAUUGAAGGAAGGAAUGACACAGGUGCUAGGCACAAAGUAAGAUAUGAAGCAAUAUCUGAUAAUGGAAUGAAAUCAAGGGCUACUAAGUCUCCACCAAUAAACUUAUGUCUUUCCAGGUAUGGCUAACCUCUACUGAAAACAACUGAAAAUGAGUCUUUUACACAGUUCCUUCUUUCCCAAAAAUACUGUGAGCAAGACCUCACUAAAUGAAUAAGCAAGAAGGGGAUUGAAGGAUUCUCAAUCAAUUGACAGAAUGCCAUCAGCUUCAUGGGAUAGAACAACAACAACAUUAACAAAAAAAGAGAAACAAAUGAUUAUUCAAUGAUCAUAUCAAACACACAUGCUACAACUGAAAACUGUUGGCCAAACAUUAUUGGAGAAGGACAAAAAAAGACAGACACAUUUAGGAACCAGUACAGGUGGCAAUUAAUGCAUUUCCACUACAAUGGUACUUGGAAACAAGCAAGAACUGAUGAACAAUACUUUGGGAGACCAAAGCAAGAAAAUUUUCUUUUUAAUGAAGAAAUCCUGGUGUGUAUCUGUGAGUAUAUGUGUGUGUGUAAAAUAUGAUUGUGCACAAUUCAGUAAAGCCUUUCAAUGUAGCAAAGUUUAAAAAAAAAGUGUCACAAAAAGAGAAAUUGACUCUGUUGCUGAAAUUUUCUUCCCAUUUAUUUUCUCUUAGUGGAAACUUACUUAAAAAAAUAAAUAUAUAAAAGCACUAACACUGAUAACUACUUCACAGGUAUACCUGCAAUAGGAUGUCACAUACUACAUGAUAAGUAAUUAGAGCUGCAGGUUAGUUUCAUAUUAAAAGACAAUAUUUGUGUGAAAGGGUGCUACAACUUACCAUAUCAACACCUUCUAAUUCCAUUUGUUCACUUCCAUUAGCAGGUCUUACCUUGUAGCUGAAUUUCAUUUUCAGAUAACUUUAACAAUCACACUGAAUCCCAUUUACAAAAAUGGAUAAGGGGGUGAGGAGAGAGGGAGAGAGACAGA